AGGGCUGAAAUCGAGAACACAGAGAACAAGGGAAGGAAGAAGACCAAGAAAGCCUUCUCCAAAGAAGUGGCAUUUAAGCUAAUAGCCAAAGGAAGACAAGGACCUGGCCAUGCAAAAAGAGGAAGGGUGUUCACGGCAGAGAAAACAGCAAGUAAAAAAGCUCUGAGAAAGUCCCCCACUGCCAACUGAGAUGGAGUCCAGUCCUCCCUGCCCAAAGACAAAAAGACAAAGGAUGACAGCUUGCACUGGAGCAGUCAAGCUGGGGAGAAGCAGAGGAAGACAUCUGUCUACCUGUGGAAUCAAGGGUCACUGUCAGUUCCAGAGCGUUCAACCCAGACCUACCAUCCUCUUGGCCUCAGUGACUGGCUCACUUGAGCCAAUCAGACCAACCAGCGACAAUAUUGGGCAUUUUGUUUGAAUGAUUUGGAAGAGGUCCUCCCUCUUUCUCAUUGUGCUUGAUGCCACGAGGAUGCAGAGGGUGGAGCAAUAGCAGUCAUUUUGGCCCCAUGAGGGAGAGACUGAAGCUGCCAGGGGAUACCACAGGGGCCUGAAAUGAAGCCAAGACUGAGAGAAGAGAAAUCAUAUCCUGAUGACAGCAUGAGAACUUGGGAUCCAGCCAUUCUUGAAGCCAAGGUCUAGCGCUAGACUUUUCAAUUAUAAGAACCAAUAAGUUUCUCCUUUUUUUUUUUCCUUAAGCCAGCUGGAAUUAGGGUUUUUUGUUUGGUUUUUGUUUUAGUCAUUUGCAACUGGUAGAGUCUUAACUGAUAAACAAGACCCUGACAGCCUAAUGAUGACAUAAGAAAUACGCAGAAAUUCAACUGCUCAACUGCCCUUCUCAGUCAUAUGCCAAGUGUGUCCCCUUUCUUCAUAUUUCUAAUUCCUUGUUCAUAGGGCUUCAGUAACCCUGUUAAAGGGUGCAAUUCAAUCAAUGCACUUCUGAUAUAUCAAAUAAUAAUGCCUUUUAUAUGUAUCAUCUACAAAAUUCAUUUUAUGUAUAUUUUUUAAAUCCAAACAAACAACACUAAAGGAGAUAGUAGUCACAGUUUAAUGACUAAGAACUAACUAAAAUGUUUUAAAGUUUACUUGGCACUAAGACCUCAUAGCUAGAAAGCGGUAAGGAACAGGUCUUCAUUAUUCUUAUCUUUAUGUCUGUUAUUCUUUUCAUCAUACCACAAAUAUUGUUAUCUUCAAAAGUAUAAUUGGCUGUAUGUAUAAACAAGACAUAAACAUUAAGCAGAUUAAGAGAUAUAAGACUUUUUUAAAUAGU
rnacentral:lncRNA from 1 species